CGCCCACGUCCUGGCAGGUGGCAAUGGUCUGUGUCUGAGAGAGGCAGAUUUCUCAGGAGUCGUAAGACAGUAGAGGCACCAUAUAUCUGCCACCUGCUACCUUACCACCUGCGACGUGGAAAUGGUGCCAAGGACCUGAGGGUAGUGGGGGUCACUUACCGUCAGAGAGUCACCCAGGGCUCCAAUUACUUUGAUGUCAGCUGGCUUCAGCCUAUGAACUGAGAAA